rnacentral:rRNA from 1 species
AUUGAACGCUGGCGGCAUGCUUUACACAUGCAAGUCGAACGGCAGCACGGACUUCGGUCUGGUGGCGAGUGGCGAACGGGUGAGUAAUACAUCGGAACGUACCCAGUAAUGGGGGAUAACUAUCCGAAAGGAUAGCUAAUACCGCAUACGCCCUACGGGGGAAAGAGGGGGAUCGCAAGACCUCUUGUUAUUGGAGCGGCCGAUGGCUGAUUAGCUAGUUGGUAGGGUAAAGGCCUACCAAGGCAACGAUCAGUAGCGGGUCUUAGAGGACGAUCCGCCACACUGGAACUGAGACACAGUCCAGACUCCUACGGGAGGCAGCAGUGGGGAAUCUUGGACAAUGGGCGCAAGCCUGAUCCAGCAAUGCCGCGUGCGUGAAGAAGGCCUUCGGGUUGUAAAGCGCUUUUGUCAGGGAGCAAAUCCUUGUGGCUAAUACCCACCGGGGAUGAGAGUACCUGAAGAAUAAGGACCGGCUAACUACGUGCCAGCAGCCGCAGUAA